rnacentral:lncRNA from 1 species
UAAUCCCAUUUUAUAUUUGUGUAAACUGAGGCUGAGAAACAGUAAAAAGUGACAUGCCCAGAGUCACAAAGCUAGCAGUCUAUGAGCUAAAGUCUAUGAGGUGGAGAGCUCUGUUUAAAAAUUGGCUUUCACUUGUUGAUAUAUUCCUUGCAUGGCUUCAAUAAAAAUGUAAACCAGGGACUUUUUGUUGAUUCUAAGGCUAUUUAGUGGGUAUUACACAGUGACUUGCUAGUACUGAAAAAUCCAAGUGUCUGGUAAAUGUCCAGAGCUUUGGUACAGAUCCUAAAUGAAGCCAGUAAAAGGAGAAAGAGCUGCAGUUUCUCUAGAGGAAACACGAGACUUUCCAGGACUUUGUACAAAUCUACUUCCUUGACUCCUGUCUAGCCUGAUGGCAUGAUACAGCGCAGAUAGAUACAGAACGUUCCGCCACUUCCAAAACACGAGUAAGUUACUUUUCUUCUCUCUGAAGGGAAGGCAAAGAGUUGAAAUGAAAGUGCACGAUAUUUAUUCUUUUUACACUAUGCAGAUAGAAAGUACCAAGUUUAUACCUACAGAGAAGGAUCGAUUCUGCUUGGGACGGGAUGCGUUUGGUCGAAGAUCAGAUGGUAACAUAGUAGAAGCCUGUGACUGCUGAAUGGGACAGGCAUGACUCUUCCCCAAAUGAGCUCUCCUUCUCCUCUUCAGUCUUCCAUGCUUGCAAAGGACAACUGGAGGUGUGGCAAAGAAUCAAAAACUGAGGGGAUGUCCAUCCAUUGGGGAAUGACUGAACAAAUUGUGGUACAUGUUGGUGAUAGAAUAGUAUUGUGCUCUAAGAAAUGAUAAGCAAGAUGACUUCAGAAAAAUCUGGAAAAAUCUGCAGGAACUGGUGCAGAGUAAAAUAAGCAGAACUGGGAGAACAUUGUACACUAUAACAACAAAAUUGUAUGAUGAUUAUCUGUAAAACUUGGGUACUCUCAGCAAUGGAAUGAUCUGGGACAAUCCUUAAAGACAGGUAUGAUGGGUAAAGUAAUCAACCUCCAGAGAAAGAACUCUUGGAGUCUUCUUUCACAUCA